AGUGAACGCUGGCGGCGUGCCUAAUACAUGAAAGUCGAACGGAGUGGCGCACGGGUGAGUAAUGUAUAGCUAAUCUGCACUACACUAGAGGACAACAGUUGGAAACGGCUGCUAAUACUCUAUAGUGUAGGAUGAGGCUAUAUUGUAUCAGCUAGUUGGUGAGGUAAUGGCUCACAAAGGCUAUGACGCAUAACUGGUCUGAGCGGAUGAUCAGUAACACUGGAACUGAGACACGGUCCAGACGCCUACGGGAGGGAGCAGUAGGGAAUAUGGCUCAAUGGGCGAAACCGUGAAGCAGCAACGCCGCGUGGAGGAUGACACUUUUCGGAGCGUAAACUCCUUUUGUUAGGGAAGCGGUACCUAACGAAUAAGCACCGGCUAACUCCGUGCCAGCCGCCGCGGUAAUAC
rnacentral:rRNA from 1 species